GAUGAAGAACGUAGCGAAAUGCGAUAAGUAAUGUGAAUUGCAGAAUUCAGUGAAUCAUCGAAUCUUUGAACGCACAUUGCGCCCCCUGGUAUUCCGGGGGGCAUGCCUGCCCGAGCGUCAUUACAACCCUCAAGCUCUGCUUGGUGUUGGGCCCCGCCGCCCCGGCGGGCCCUAAAGUCAGUGGCGGUGCCAUCCGGCUCCGAGCGUAGUAAUUCUUCUCGCUCUGGAGGUCCGGUUGUGUGCUUGCCAUCAACCCCCAAUUUUUUUCAGGUUGACCUCGGAUCAGGUAGGGAUACCCGCUGAACUUAAGCAUAUCAAUAAGCGGAGGA
rnacentral:misc_RNA from 1 species